rnacentral:rRNA from 1 species
AUUGAACGCUGGCGGCAGGCCUAACACAUGCAAGUCGAGCGGAUGAAGGGAGCUUGCUCCUGGAUUCAGCGGCGGACGGGUGAGUAAUGCCUAGGAAUCUGCCUGGUAGUGGGGGAUAACGUCCGGAAACGGGCGCUAAUACCGCAUACGUCCUGAGGGAGAAAGUGGGGGAUCUUCGGACCUCACGCUAUCAGAUGAGCCUAGGUCGGAUUAGCUAGUUGGUGGGGUAAAGGCCUACCAAGGCGACGAUCCGUAACUGGUCUGAGAGGAUGAUCAGUCACACUGGAACUGAGACACGGUCCAGACUCCUACGGGAGGCAGCAGUGGGGAAUAUUGGACAAUGGGCGAAAGCCUGAUCCAGCCAUGCCGCAUGUGUGAUGAAGGUCUUCGGAUUGUAAAGCACUUUAAGUUGGGAGGAAGGGCAGUAAGUUAAUACCUUGCUGUUUUGACGUUACCAACAGAAUAAGCACCGGCUAACUUCGUG